AGAGUUUGAUUCUGGCUCAGAACGAACGCUGGCGGCGCGCCUAAUACAUGCAAGUCGAGCGAGAAGGUGUAGCAAUACACUUGUAAAGCGGCGAACGGGUGAGGAAUGCAUGGGUAAUCUACCAUCGAGUGGGGAAUAACCAGCCGAAAGGCUGGCUAAUACCGCGUACGCUUCCGGGUUUUCGGGUCCGGAAGGAAAGCCAUGCCGUGGGUAUGGCGCUCUUUGAUGAGCUCAUGUCCUAUCAGCUUGUUGGUAGGGUAACGGCCUACCAAGGCUUUGACGGGUAGCUGGUCUGAGAGGACGAUCAGCCACACUGGCACUGCGACACGGGCCAGACUCCUACGGGAGGCAGCAGUAAGGAAUAUUGCGCAAUGGGCGACAGCCUGACGCAGCGACGCCGCGUGGGGGAUGAAGGUCUUCGGAUUGUAAACCCCUUUCGGGAGGGAAGAUGGGGCAGGUAACUGCUCGGACGGUACCUCCAGAAGCAGCCACGGCCAACUUCGUGCCAGCAGCCGCGGUAAUACGAAGGUGGCAAGCGUUGUUCGGAUUCACUGGGCGUACAGGGUGUGUAGGCGGUUUGGUAAGCCUUCUGUUAAAUCUUCGGGCCCAACCCGGAAAGCGCAGAGGGGACUGCCAGGCUAGAGGGCGGGAGAGGAGCGCGGAAUUCCCGGUGUAGCGGUGAAAUGCGUAGAGAUCGGGAGGAA
rnacentral:rRNA from 1 species